rnacentral:sRNA from 1 species
CUGACAGCCCAGGAGACCGAAUUCCUCUGUUAACCCACAAAACAGGUACAGCAUGGAUGGUGGUUUUGGAAAUUUCCCCACACUGCCAGUGUGCUUCAGGCCUGUUCUAGAAGGACCACCUUCAGGGCUGAGAGGAUAGUUCAGUUUCCAAGCCCCUCAGUUUUCAUUCCGUU